GACGAACGCUGGCGGCGUGCCUAAUACAUGCAAGUCGAACGCAGUUUCGAACGGGUGAGUAACGCGUCUGUAACUGCCCUGUAGCGGGGGAUAACUUUUUGAAACGGUUGCUAAUACCGCCUACUGUGAGAUGGACCUGCGUUGUAUUAGCUAGUUGGUGAGGUAAAGGCUCACCAAGGCGCAGAUACAUAGCCGACCUGAGCGGGGGAACGGGCAAACUGGGACUGAGAAACGGCUCAGGAGCCUUCGGGAGGCAAGAGGAGGGAAACUUUGGAAAAGGACGGAAGUCUGGACGAGCAAAGGCGCGGGAGUGGAGAAGGGUUUCGGAUUGGAAAGCUCUGUUGUUAGGGAAGCGGUAACUAAACAGAAAGCAACGGCUAACUACGUGCCAGCAGCCGCGGUAAUAC
rnacentral:rRNA from 1 species